rnacentral:rRNA from 1 species
GAUGAUUCUUUUUCUUUUGUUAUUGACUCACAUAUUUCUAAAUUUGAUGAGAAAUCACAAUAAUCACAGAAAACAAGUGUACCCAAUCUCAUGGCAGAGUAGCCAAGUCCGGCAGGGAUAAACGCUGAAGGCAUCUAAGCGUGAAGCCCCCCUCAAGAUGAGAUAUCCCUCCGCAAGGUUAAGACCCCUUAGAGAGUAUGAGGUAGAUAGGGCAGGGGUGUAAGCACAGUAAUGUGUUCAGCUGACUGUCACUAAUCGGUCGAGGGCUUAUCCUA